UCUCCAGCCUGGUAGUGGGUGAAUGGUUUUGGGAUGAGACUGUUCCACCUCAGAUCAUCAGGUAUUAGAUUUUCAUAAGGAGCACACAACCUAGAUCCUUUGCAUGUACAGUU